rnacentral:rRNA from 1 species
CUUGGGUGACGAGUGGCGGACGGGUGAGUAAUGCUUAGGAACAUGCCUUUGUGUGGGGGAUAACUAUUGGAAACGAUAGCUAAUACCGCAUAACGUCUUCGGACCAAAGGGGGCUUCGGCUCUCGCGCAAAGAGUGGCCUAAGCGAGAUUAGCUUGUUGGUGAGGUAAAGGCUCACCAAGGCGACGAUCUCUAGCUGUUCUGAGAGGAAGAUCAGCCACACUGGAACUGAGACACGGUCCAGACUCC